CCUACGGGAGGCAGCAGUGGGGAAUAUUGGACAAUGGGCGCAAGCCUGAUCCAGCAAUGCCGCGUGAGUGAUGAAGGCCUUCGGGUUGUAAAGCUCUUUCGCACGCGACGAUGAUGACGGUAGCGUGAGAAGGAGCCCCGGCUAACUUCGUGCCAGCAGCCGCGGUAAUA
rnacentral:rRNA from 1 species